AUUGAACGCUGGCGGCAGGCCUAACACAUGCAAGUCGAGCGGAUGAAGGGAGCUUGCUCCUGGAUUCAGCGGCGGACGGGUGAGUAAUGCCUAGGAAUCUGCCUGGUAUUGGGGGAUAACGUCCGGAAACGGGCGCUAAUACCGCAUACGUCCUGAGGUAGAAAGUGGGGGAUCUUUGGACCUCGCGCUAUCAGAUGAGCCUAGGUCGGAUUAGCUAGUUGGUGGGGUAAAGGCCUACCAAGGCGACGAUCCGUAACUGGUCUGAGAGGAUGAUCAGUCACACUGGAACUGAGACACGGUCCAGACUCCUACGGGAGGCAGCAGUGGGGAAUAUUGGACAAUGGGCGAAAGCCUGAUCCAGCCAUGCCGCGUGUGUGAAGAAGGUCUUCGGAUUGUAAAGCACUUUAAGUUGGGAGGAAGAGCAGUAUGUGAAUACCUUGCUGUUUUGACGUUACCAACAGAAUAAGCACCGGCUAACUUCGUG
rnacentral:rRNA from 1 species